GUUAGCUGCAGACUCUCAGGGCCAGUUCAGACCACCUUUGCAGCGAUCCUCAGAGCAAGGGUUCCCCCAAGCUCCUUAGGUCACUGGGCCAACAUCUUUCAGAUGACAAUUAAGUCUCCUCCCCUUUAGGGGGUCAGUGGGCAACAGGUACGAGUGACAAUUGCAGCUUCGUGUCUCCCUUGUGGAGCAGGCACCAGCCAAGGGAGAACCCUGGGUCACCGUCUCCAUCAGCACUGAGCACUGUCAGAUACCGUCAGGGCAGAGAAAAGCCUCAGAGUACUGUCUAGGAAAGGCAAAGGCCAGUGGGGGAGUGUGGUCUACAAGAGAAAACGCUGAUGACAAUUUUUUUUUUUCAAUUUUUCUCUCACUUUAGACACCAGUGAAGCAGUGGUUGAAAGAUGGUAGUUCACAGCCCAAACAUGGACGCCACGUCUUCACAAGGGGCCUUCUUGAAGGAGAAUGCAUGUCCUCAAACUUCAUUGUUUUUACUGUUCCGUGGAAUCCAGUGACUGACCUUGGGGACCUUGACUCCUAGGCCUGAGACCCGAGUGCAGCAGCACCCAGUGGCUUCUCCCAGCUCUGCUCACCCAGGAAACCUCAGGAGGCCAGGCUCCCUCCAGGAGGCAUCAGGAGUCAGGCCCCGACUCCAGGAACUCACUCCUGGUGGGAGAGUCUCCUGGUACCGAGCAGAUGUGGACCAGCCUUGAGACCUUCUGCUGCUUCCAAGCGAUACUGCCGUCCUCCUGGGAACCCAGGCUCGUGCUGCUUCUUGGCUCUUGUUGCAGGAGAAGAUUUCAGGCAAGAAACAAAACAGAGUAAAAGUACAACAAAGUAUGUUGGGAAAGGGAGGGAGGGUCGGUUGUCUCUAAGAGGGGAGUGCAAUGGCAUGCCCCUUUCUCCUGGUUUUAUUGUGGGUCUUAGGGAAGUUUCCCACCUCUGCGUUGGCUCGACAGUAGGAUUGCAAUCGACUUGUAAGUCCCACUACACAUGCUCUUAUCUGCAGGUACCCAGGUGAAACCCAUGGAGCAAGGAUAGGAUCAAAAUGAUAUGCUAAGAUCUAAAGGCGACUCCCAGUCACCUUGAUCCACACGGACCAAUGUGUGUAUGGCACUAACUGGCACUUGUUGUUUACAGAUUAUAUGACCAGUGGAGUUUGCCUCUAAUUGUCCUGUCUUCCUGGGUCCUUGGAACCUUUGGUCUGUGUGAAGGUCACAAGGGUCCAGGUAAUUUCAGAAAGGAGUCUUAGGUAAAUUGCUUUAGGGUAAAUUUCUUUCUAGGAGAAAACAGGUGAAAGCCCAGCACAUAGGCUCCAUUCAUAUAUCAUCCCCCAACAGCAUGUGCCUAGGACUUCUGUCCAUCUCCCACCUAUCACAAGAACUUGGUGUAGAAGAUGGCCAAAGAGUAGUUUCUGGAAAGCCCUUUUGAGGUAUGUUGACCAAUAAGGAGACUCAGACAUGCAAUUUGAAUGAGAGAAGUUUCUAGGCAGAAAGAAGUGAGUCGAGGUCUGCCACGGGAAGCCACAUGGCCUGUGCAGAAGAGCUGACUGUUUAAAGGAGGAGUGAGAGGACAGAAGAGGCCUGAGAGAAGGGGCAGAGGAGCCAUGGCCAGCCACAGCAUCGGACAUACAGUGUAUAUAAAGUAAUCUAAUCAGACAUGUAGUGUCUAUAAGACAUAUAAAGUGAUGUAAUCAGAAAUAUGAUAAAAAAUAGGAAGCUGUCCUGAUGUCACAGUUGCAGGCACACUGGAGCAGCAUAGAGACCCUGUGCUUGGCCAGGUGUCUGCACGUGACAAGCAAGGAUUGGGAGGACUCAAGACGACGGUGACACCAGCCUUCAAAACCAGAUCUGGCCCUCGCUCGCCCAGUGUUGAAGAUAAACACCAGAGAAAUGUAGAGGUAAAAAAACAAGUUUUAUUUAAGGGAUAGAACAGAGAAAGAAAAAGAGAGAGAGAGAGAGACUCCCUUGGAGGGGAGGGGUCCAGAGCUGGUGCCCAUGGAGACGGCUUGUCGAUUUUAGGUGUCCUUUCCUCUCAUGCCUACCUGACCAAAAGUGAGCAAAAGGCCAGAAGGGGGCCGUCCAGGGCGUGGGUGCUUGUGUUGUAAAGUGUGAUCGUCCAAUCCCCCGAGGCUCUUAGCAGCCUCUUAGCAACUGGGGAAAGGGAAGUACUAAUUACCCAUUUCCUUUUCUUUGAUAAUUAGCCACCUGUCCAUUGUGGCAGUCUCAAUGGCUCUGCCGUGAAUGGGGGAGAAAGAAGGAAAGUGGGAUUGAAGAGGGGGGGUCAGGUCCUCCUUCCAUGGAUGAGGUUCAAGUGCUGGUGUGAUCCUGGGGGACGUGAUCACUAGGCCAGGUAAGUGUGUAAGUGUGCGCCUGGAGUGAGAAGGACAGGGACCAGAAAUCAGCUCUGAAGACAGGCCCAACAGUGAGAGCCAAGGGCACUGGAUGAAAUGGGCCCAGUGGUGGGGCCUGAAGAGCUCAGCCAGGCUAGCGGAAGAAAUCCAGGCCUGGAAAAGGUGAGUCAAGGCGAGUUCAGGGCAGGGAGACGUAGGGUGAGACCAGUGAGUCCGCAAGGGGGUGUUGCCUUCUCCAAGGUCACGGGAAGACUGAGCCCCGGGAGAGCUGAGAGGAGGCCCAAGGUGGCCAGAACCACACUCAGAGACAGUCUUGAAACUGCUGAGGCUUCUCUAAAGGCCAUAGUCAAAGCAAAUAUAUGACAACAAUAAAGAAAUGUAAAUACUUAAACCAUUGGUCAACCUCUGCUAGCCUGCCCAGCUAGGACCUUUAUGGAGCCAAGGGUCUGGUUAACGGAAAAGGACAGGCGUCGACACCUGCCAGUGUCCCUUCAGGGGGGAGUUUGCCAGAGCCUCACAGAGGCGACGGGGUGCAGAGAAGGCUUUCUAAAUCACCCCUCGACAAACUCGUCGACCCUCUUCCUACGCUGCUAAUACUGUAUCUUGUUCGUCUAACCCCAAGGUGUGGUCAUCCAGCACAAGAGAAAAGGAGCCGAACCCAUUCUGACUUCACUCUCUUCACUUAAGAGCUGACCCAGAGAGGAUGAGACCAACAGGGAAGUGUUUUGUCAAAAUGACUGUUUGCAUCCAGUCUCCUGUUCCUCAUUCUCCUCGUUGCCACCGUCACAUAUUAGGCACUGACUUUUUAAAAAACUCUCCUGUGUGAUGAGUUUAGAGACAACCCACUAGUAUUUCCAAACUCCGGUUUUUUUUGUUUUUUUUAUAACUUCCUAGGGAUUGAACCCAGGGCCUUAAGGUGCUAGGUAGGCACUAUACCACUGAAGGACAUCUCCAGCUCCUUUUAACUUUUAUUCUUGAGACAAUCUCAUUAAAUUGCCCAGGCUGGCCUCAAACUGGGGAUCUUCCUGCCUAAGCUUUCUGAGUUCCUGCCAUUAGCCACAUGUCUGACUUCUAUCUUUUUAAAAAUAAAGAUACAAACAUAAGCACCUUAAAUACUGAAGAUUCAAUUUUAAGGGAGAAAAAAAUGUCCAUAUGACCCUUCCCCAGUCUCUAGUCAAUGCUUCUCAAACUAGAAGCACUGCCAGGUAAGAUACUUUCCCUUGUUUCCACAAUCCUGUCCUGUUUAUCCUCUGCUCCCUCCAGGAGCCACUCCCAGAGGCCCGAAUACCUGCUGUGUGCUGCAGGACUGCAUUCCCCUCCUUCUCUCCAGGCUCAGACCUUGCCCAGCACCUGCGCACUGCCCUCCGCAACUGCAGGGCCCUGACAAGUCACCACUGAGUCCUGAGAGCCUCCCAGGCCUGAAACCUCUGUAGCUAGUGUUGGGAACGUGGAGACGGCUCCUGCCGAGCUCUCUGUUGGAUGGUGCCUGAAGUCCCUAACUCGCUAUUCUCCUGUCCUCGGUGUACGGGCAUCACUGGACAGGCACAUGGUUUGGCUGUAAGUAGCCAAACAGUAUUCUCCCACAAUAAGUGACUCUGCUUCAAUCCAAUCUCAAUUUCAGAAUUUGAUAUAGAGCAAAGUUAAGUGGAGAUUAUUUUAAAAGACCUUUUUCUAACUGAAAAAAUGAGUGUUUUCAUAGUGGAAAAUUUGGAAGAUCCAGCAAAAUACAAGGACUACAUUUUAUUUUAUUUAUUUACACAACAUCUUUAUUUUAUUUUUAUGUGGUGCUGAGGAUCGAACCUAGCGCCCCGCGCAUGCUAGGCGAGCGCUUUACCGCUUGAGUCAUAUCCCCAGCCCCAGGACUAAUUUUAAAUCGCAUUUAUUUCCACAACCAAAGACAACCAUGCUAACAUUCUGUUUAGUCUCCUAAUGCUUACAUUAGGUACAUAUAUGCAUAGUUAAGUAUGUGCCACAUGCCCAUGUGCACACCUUUGUCUAAACUAGAACCAGUGGUACUCGCCCAGCAGUGCCCUUUACCCAUUUACUGUGAGCAUCUCUCCGUCAGCGCUGCUCGGCAUCAGUUCCUGUCUGGUCACAUCAGUGCUAUCUCUAUCCCAAGGCCACCCUGUCUAUAACCCAGUACAACAGCAGCAAUGAUCACGCAGAAGUGAGGAAGGCAUGGAGGUGGGGGUCAGCACCGGUGUCACAGGUCACAGGCACCAACUCAUUCAAAGCUCAAAGCAACCAUGAAGUUGCAGGUGGGAAACCGAGGCACAGCGUGGCUACCUGCCCAAGUUACACCGACGACGUGUGUGAGGUUGUGUCCAAUUUUUUACUAAAACAGAAUGAUGAACAUCUUUAUGUUCAAAAAUACAGAAUGCUUAUUCAAAUGUGUGUUCAUGUUGGUAGUUAUUUCUCCAGGGUGACAUUCCGUACCCACAAUUGCAGAGCCUGAGAAUCUGUUUAAAGACUGCUGACGUGCACUUUUCAAAUUGUGCUCCAUCCUGUUUUUGAUUUUGUGGACUGGUGGGGUUGGGGUGAAUACUGUUGUUUUGCUUGUACAAAUCCUGCCAUUCACCAGGGUAAACUCAGGCGGCUCAUUCAGAGUGGAUGUCCACCUGACUCCAGCACAGGUGCUCCGUGCAGGCCCGUGUCCUGUGAAGCAGGGGAAUUGCAGCCCCUGAAACCCAAGAUGGACCUUCUGCAGCCCUGUGUACCAAGCAUGUGGAAACUAGCUCCACAGGCAUGUUCAGAAGACAUCACCUGCAGUCAUGGGUGCCCACAGCUGAAGAGCGCUCCCUGCCCAGCGCAGCCACAGAGGGAGGAGAUGAAUGGGGAUCCAUCAGUGAACAGAAUUUGUCUGUUUUCAUUCACGCUCCAACGAGAGGCACCUUUUCAGUUUCUAUCCUGUUCAUCACUGCUUUCUCUCUGUUCUCAUUCUCUAGAAGCUUCUGAGCACCACGUGCUCUGUGCUGAAUUUAAUCAGCCUCCAUGGUAACGUGCUCUCAAAAGCUGCAGCCCGCACUCGGGCGACCUUGCCCCAGGCUGGGAGCCAGGCACCUUCACCACCGCCUGGCCUUUGCUUCACCAGGAUGCUCUCCCCGUCUGCCAGCAGCGGCCAGGCCAAUUAACCUUUAGGGGAAAGUGGGGCUCCCUGCCACUCAGCUUCCUUCUCGCUCAUUGUGCUCAUCCUGAAAAGCCUCGAGGAGCUGUAAUAAAUACAU
rnacentral:lncRNA from 1 species